rnacentral:rRNA from 1 species
AUGGUUAUUCUUGCUGUCACUCUAUGGGCUAUAUGGUCGUCCCGUCACAAGGCGAUCCAUGAGGGGGUCUUCCAAAGCCCCCAAUCGACCUUCAUGUCUACGAAGAGGUUUAUAGAAGAGUUUGACAUGAUCAGGGAUAACCAGCCAUCAUCAGACUUGCCUGUAAUUAUUCAGAUACGCCAAAAGGCUCCACCGGCUAGGUUCAUGAAGAUCCAUGUGGACGCCGGGGUGCGUGCAAGACGAGGGGGAUCUGCAGCAGCAGUGUGUCGUGACAGCAACGGCAAUUAUGUUGGCAGCUCAUCACUGGUGAUAGCUGGAGUCGAGGAUCCGGCAACCCUAGAGGCCAUCGCAUGUAGAGAGGCCCUGUCCCUUGCUGAAGAUCUUCACGUUCAACAUUUUGUCAUCUCCUCGGACUCCAAGCAGGUCAUCUCAGACAUCAAUAAGGGAUCUGAAGGUCGUUUUGGUGCUAUAAUUAGUGAAAUUAAACUCAAGUCAAAUACUAUGAAUUGUUCUUUUAUUUUUAAAGGCCGUGCAGUUAAUGUCGAAGCACAUAGGUUAGCCAGAUACUCUCUUAAUCUUGGUCAGGGGCGGCUUGGCCAACCCCAUGAUCCAAUAUGUAUCCCACUAUCUGUGGUCUAUGGCGAAUAA